GCUUGUUGAAGGAAGUAUGUCACUGUGGAGGCAGGGAUUUCAGGCUCGUACGCUCAGGCUCCGCCCAGUGCAGAAAGCAAUCCUGCUUUUGGCUGCUUUGGUAUCGGGAUGUAGUAGAACUUUCGGUAUUUCCAACGCAUGUCUGCCUGCACACUGCCAUGCUCCCCGUCAUGAUGAUAAUGGACUGGACUUCUGAAACGUACUGUGGAACUGUGGAUUGAACCUAGAGCUUUGCACACGUUACCAAACUAACCACUCAGUUGGUGUCACUGCUUGAGCAGUUUAGGAAGUGCAGCCUUGGUGGAGGAAGUAUGUCACCAAAGUUCCAGACUCCGGACCGUGAGAUGGUGCUACCCAGAUCCAGGGUGUAUCUCUGUGGGGAUGCUCUCGCAUGCACAUACCUCCUCAUUGAUUGAAACCUCAGUCCAGGUGGCCUUGAAGAUUAAUCAUCACAGUAGCAGCCAACCCACUGCCCUGAGCUUUACAGGAUCUUCCACGUCCUCAGAUGCCAGCCUGAAAAUUAUACCCAACAUAUCCACACCUCCCUCACUACCUCAUUCUCCUACUUUGGUGUAGAUUUAUUUCAAAGAGCAGUUAUUUGAAGCUUCAAUCAAAUUAUACACCAGGAGUUCCUGCCAUUUUUGUUGCUGAGUGAUGUCCUAUGCUAUUGAUGUGCCAUUUAUUGACAAACUAUUUAUCCUGUGGCGUACAACUGGUUAUUUUCAGAUUUGGAUUAUUAUGAAUAAAGCUACCG